rnacentral:tRNA from 1 species
UCCCUGGUGGCUCAGAGGUUAAAGCGUCUGCCUGAAAUGCGGGAGACCCGGGUUCGAUCCCUGGGUCGGGAA